GAUGAACGCUGGCGGCGUGCUUAACACAUGCAAGUCGAACGGAAAGGCCCUGCUUUUGUGGGGUGCUCGCGUGCCGAAGGGGUGUGUAUCACGUGCGUAAUCUGCCCUUGACAUAGGGAUACAUUCAGGAAACUGGGGCUCAUACCGGAUAGGAGCUCCUGCGGCAUGGUGUGCGUAGGUAAGUUUCGGCGGUUGGGGAUGGUCUCGCGGGUUAUCAGCUUGUUGGUGGGGUAGUGGAUUACAAAGGCUUUGACGGGUAGGCGGCCUGAGAGGGUGACCGGCCACAUUAGGACUGAGAUACGGCCCAGACUCCUACGGGAGGCAGCAGUGGGGAAUAUUGCACAAUGAGCGGAAGCCUGAUACAGCGGCGCCGCGUGCGGAAUGACGGCCUUCGGGUUAUAAACCGCUUUCGCCUGAGACGAAGCGAGAGUGACGGUAAUGGGUAAAGAAGCACCGGCUAACUACGUG
rnacentral:rRNA from 1 species